UGCGAGUUGCUCCGGUGAGCCAACCGGCUUCAUAAGCCGGUCCGACGGGGUUCGACUCCCCGACUCGCGA
rnacentral:tRNA from 1 species